rnacentral:rRNA from 1 species
UUAUGUACAUUCCUGCAACGUUAAUGCACUGGAUCCCAUCAGAAUUCCAUAGUUAAGCAUGCUUGGGAUAGAGUAGUAAUGGGAUGGGUGACCUCCUAGGAAUUCCUAGUGUUUUACAUGCC